rnacentral:lncRNA from 1 species
AUUUGAUACUUGCAAACUGUGGCACCCCAGCUCAGAGAAACCGGAACGCCCCGUAUUCCAGCCCAGAGAUUGAGGAGAAGUCUUCUGGAAUACGACACUUAGCAUAGAACAAACCAACUCUUUAUUAUCACACGAAUAUGAAUACAAGGUCUCCGAUAUUACAAUGAAUAACAUCGGUACAGCGACACUACUACAUUCUCAGUUGCUCUAUGCAAGCAGCAGAACAACUCGAAGCAGCGGAAUAACUCUAGCAGCGGAACAACGGCGAUGGUGGUGAACUCCACUCCGCAGGGACUCUGGCUGGAACGCUUAUCCUAGCUUGCAUGAACGGAAACCACGACAAGCAAGCAAUCAAAUCCGGCAUGACCUGCAACCUGGCGUGACACGCCAGGUCAGUACAUUGAAUGUACUUGCAUGCUCACAAUAACCAGAAGCAUUCAAGACAGACAACAGCUUGGCAAUUAUAGGUUAAACAGGAAUUAUCAUGAUAUCAUCAAAAUAACAUGGCAUCAUCAGCAUAAACAUGAUACAACUAACUCAACCUGAACAUAGCAUGAACAUAUUAAUCCGACAAUACUAGCAUGCAACAUAAUGACACUAUAUGCACCACUUAUUCUGCAUGGCUACCUCGUAACCAACACAUGCAUCACUUACCAACCUCGAACAUCACACGAACAUACACAACUCGGUAUCCUCGAUACCAGUGUGAUCCUUACGGCGAUCACAACCAACUUAUCUCAUUGUUAUUAAGCACAUUAUUCUUAUUACUCUUGACUCAUGGUGUGACCUACUUUCGACCUGGGCCCUUAUCCGCGGGCGCGGCUAUCGAUAGAUUUAAUAUACACUCUGCAGAGGUUAGUACACUGUACCCACACUACAGAACCCAUGGCCUCGCACUCCCAUUCGGGUGGACCAACGGCAUUCCGGCAAAACCUUCGUACUGCCAUGACACUUUCCCGGCCACUCCGACUCACUCCCCACUGGGCUAAGUCAUGGGUGGCCCCGUGUCUACCUCCAGACACAACGACCACCACCGUGGCCAAAACAUAAACGAUCCCACACGGGGAUCCGUCGGCUAUAACAACUACGGGCACACAAGGUUAUGCCUGCUUACCGGGCCAGGGUAUAGCACGCCCAUAACCUUCCCUCGUUGGAGGCACCAACGAGAGGCACGACAAUAGACCCAAUUAGGACUGUCCCAUACCGGCAAGUGUGGUUGCACUGGUCAGCACCAAUUCAGCGGCACCAUGACUCAACCAACAGUUGUUCAAGUUCAAUUUAAUCCGGUUAACUUGAAUGCAAAUAUGCUGAGCCAUGAUAAAAUGCAUGAACAUGAUAUCAACAUAAUCAUGAGGGUAUCACAUAACUUUCCACCAUAUCAACAAUAAAUCAGAUCCACUAAGCAUCGCAUACUGACUAGCAUGACCAUCUCCAACAUCAACAUGUACUACUAGCAAGCAUAAACAUAUGAAAGGUAAUACUAGCAAGUAUAACAUGAUCACAUAGUACAAGACAACAUAGCACAAAAGUGAACAUGCAAAUCUGAACAUCACCGGAACAACAAUAACCAUCUUUUCAACAAGCAAACAUUUAUUAAAGAUUCAAGUUGAAAACCAUGGCUACUGCAUGACUAUCAUGCAAGUGGGUAUUGUGGCUUGCCUGGGAAUGAAGAAGGCACCGGGGGGAAGUGCGGUGAAGCCGCGGAAAGAAACACCGGAAAACGUUCUCUCUCGAAGGGGGCUGAAUAAGGGCAAGGGCAUAAAGGUCAUUUUCACAAUGUCAAACCAUAGUGAAAACAUGACCAACAGAACGGCCUCGGCGAAACAAAGAAGUGAGCGUUGGUUUCAUCUUAAACGGAGUUACGGAUAAAAAGAUAUAAGGGUUUUACUGCCAGGGACCUAUCUGUAAUGAAAAGAUUUUCACACAGGGGCCUGGACAGAAAAAGUGAAAGCGUAUUUUGGUGAUUACGUCUCCACUUACGCUGAUGUGGUGACGACCAGUCAAACAGAGGCGGGGCCGGCUUCAGGGUGGCUGACGCGCGGGGCCCGCGGGACCCACACUGCUGGUCAACGCCUACUCCCGCUCUCCUUCUUUUUCCCUGACGGGAGGAGGGGAGGGGCGAGGCAGAGGUGCUACCGGCGCUGGGCAUGGCGGCUUCGGCCAUCUCCGGCCACGGAGAGGGCACCGGUGGACUCGGGCAGCUGCACCGCGCCCAUUCAGAGGGAGAGCUGGCAGCGGGAGAGCUAGAGCGAAGGGGAGGCCGCGGCGACGAGGACUACAGAGGCGGCGGCUGGUCGAUGGGCACGGCCCUGGAGGGGCUUCGGCGAUGGGGUAAAGGGCAGGGAGACUCGCCGGAGUGUGGGGAAGGCGAUGGUGGUGGCUAGAGGUGGAGGAGGGCUCGGCUUCGGCCGAAUUUUGGCCGGAGGGGGCGGCGGCCAUGGCAGCAAUGGGGGCACAGAAAGCUCCCGGAGCUCGGGCUAGAAUCUAGGCGGGGCACAGGGAGGUGGGUGAGGCUAGUGGGGUGCUCAGACGACUCGGGGAAGGGCUAUAUAUAGCCGGGCGAGGAGGGGAGGCCAUGGACGCGUGGCCGUGGCUCGGGUGCCGCUGUGCGCAUCUGGCCGACGCUCUGGCGAGGCCAGCGAGCAUGGGAGGGCUCGGGGAAGGCGACGAAGGAGAACGCGGACGAGGCACAGGGGUCACGGAGACGAGGCAGAGCUCGGGGACAAGCGAAGUAAGAAGCCGAGCGCCAUUAAUGCGCUGUCGGCCAGAGUGCUCCCGUGGGCGAUCGUCGGCGAGCGCCGACGAGGAGGCUUCGGCAGGGGGAGAGGGGUCCAGGAAAACGGCGACGACGAGGGCUACCUACUAGACAUCAUCACGAGCGCGAAGCCGACGAGAGGGGGAGGGGGUCCAGCACAAACAUCCACUGGACGUGCGCAUGGCAUGCCAAAACGGUGGUCACCACCAGUGCUGGCAUGUGGGGGAGGCAAACAACUAGAAAUUGAUGUCUAGUGGUAAGUCCUUCGAAGGUUGGUUUCAACUGAGGUGGUAACUUGGUGAAAGAGGCUCUGGUUAAAAAGUUAGUGAGCUCUGAAGUUUACUGCAGUAAACUUCACCAGCUCAAUGUGGUCAACAGGGAGCUGUUAAGGGCCAAACAAGUUGUCUGGGAUGUUUAGCUAUGGAGGGACUAUGAUCCUGGAGGUUUUGAGGGUAAAAGGAUCAAGAUUUACUGCAGUUGCUUCACAACUGCAUACUUGGUCCAGAAAUAAAGAUCAGGAAGAUGCACUCACAUGGAGUGUCCACUUGAGCUAAAAUUGGUCAAGGCUUAGCAAUUUGGACAUAUUAAGAUGAUGUAAAAAGCUCAUGCCAAAUGGACAAACCAAAAUAGCACUUGCUUCACAAACAUCAUUUCUAUCCAGAAACUUGGAAUAAUUAUGGUGGUCAAAUGGCUCAAUGAAAUUAUGCCAAAAUGGGUGGAGAGAUGUUUUAUGGGUAUAAGAAUGAUCUGGUAAUUUAUCAGGAUUUUUGAAGCAAUAUAAAAUAUACUUGCUUCACAACCUGAAAAUAUUGCCAGAAUCAAAGAUUUUCUCCUGUGCUCACAUACGUAAUUGGAUGGGGCUGAAAAUGGGUGGAAGGUGUUAAUAUGAGCACAUUAAGGAGUUUGCAAAAGUUCAACUCAUUUGGGUACCCCUAGCUAGUACUUCCUUCAGAAAGCCUUCUAUUUGACAGAAACUUUGAAAAUUCCCUGAGGAAGAUUGGCUAGGAAAAUAAAUUUUAAAUUGUGCAUGAGGAAAUUAUUUGCACAUAUAAACAUUCCCAAAAAGGUUGGUAGUCAAUAGGAGGAAUAUAAAUGACAGUUCCUUCACAAAGUGCCAUUCAGGGAAGAAUUGGAAAUGAAUUAUUGGAGGAUUAUUUUUGAACAUGGCAAUGAAAACUUUUGCCAUAUUUGAUCAAGAUAUGACCCAAACAAUUUAUUAGAAUUAUUUGGGAAUUUUUGGAGUGAUGGAAAUAUAGGUUGCUUCACAACCUAGGGCAAUUUGAGUUAUUCCUUUAAUAGAAAAGGAAUAUUCCCAAUAAAAAGAAUAUUGGGAUUCGGGAUAGGAUGGAAAUGGAAAGGUCUAGGGAAAGAUUUGGGAAUGACAAGCCACUCUGGAAGCAAAGAAGAGGGGAUCUUCUUCAGUUUCCAGACCACAAGGCCAUGGAAAAAAGAAAACUCAGGCAAAAACCUCGGAAAAACAAAAGAAAAAGAAAGGGCCAAAAAUCAGGCUGUCACAAACCUUACCCCCUUAAAGAAAUCUCGUCCUCGAGAUUUGGUUGCUCAGGGAACUAGUAUGAAUAUUCUGACUUAAGGAAACUAUUUCCAACUCGGGUAUCCUUUUUCCUUUAUUGUUGUUCCCAUUAAAUCUUUAUCUGACUGGCCCUGGGGUAGUUUGAUUCACUGUAUCCUCCUUUUGUCAGAUCUUACCUUGCUUGUUCAUGCUUAUAUAGGCUCCAAUUUCUUUUUAGAUCUGCUGACUAGCUGAGUGUGAUUUGAUUAUCACGACUGAAAUAUAUGUCCGUCUCACAAAUCCAAAAGUGAUUUCCGCUAGGUGUGCUACCCGGCACUGACAACCUUUCCUAUAUUGAUGAUCAGAUUUUCUGAUGAAAACUCAAGCUCUGACUCAUUGCAUUGGGUUUCUCCACCAAAUGCAGGUCAUUUGGGCUCCAAACAGUGAGUUAAAACAUAACCGUUUCCUGACAGAUUUUGACUCAUCUCAGAAGUUUCUGAAUCAUCUUAAUCGGUUCCACUGUCAUGAGUACCGGAUCCGUACCAAAUAUUUGAUUAUCUCCUGUCCUGUCAUGGCCAGCAUAAAGGGUCUGGCCUGUAUGAUAAUAUCUGGAGACUUGGCUGACGGUGGUUCUGACGGAAUUUUUUUUGUUCACGACAGGCUAUCCAUGAUGAUUCAUAUAAGUGAGGACUCAGGCUUGUAGCUUAUCCUCAUUUUUCUUGACAGGGUAACCUAUUAAAUGACAGGUUCAACACCUCUCAAAUUCUGAUCGUUGGGAAAUGAUCAUCCGAAACCCUUGCAAGAAAAUCGGCAAAUAAAUCAGUAGCCACCAGAACGGUCUUUACAACUCAGAUUUGGGACAUUACUGGAAUAACUCAACCAUGGCUCAGGACGGCCGAAAAACAGCUCAGAGCAUGAGACCGGGUUGAUAAGAAGAAGGUGGCAGCUCCCUAAAAUAUCCAAAAAGCAGCUAUAGGACUACCGUCACAAAAGAAACUCAACAGCUGUACGGGACGGUUGAAAAGCAGCUCAGACUCGCGACAGUCGUUCAAGAGAGAAACAAAAAUUGGCAUCCACCCCGGAUAGCUAGAAACAACUCAGAUCACAGGCGUGGUGCCGUCAUUGGAGAAAAAGGGGACAAGGGCUCAUCAAGAUCAUUUUCUAGGUUCAUGGGUACUUGUAUUGAUCUCAUUGAUGUCGUCAAUCCUCAUAAUCCUUUGUCACACUACGGUGUAUACUGGCUUUCUUCUAUUAAUCAUCCUCACGUGGUUAUUAGAUCUUCAUCCGAGUGACUUGUAAGAUCUUUGGUGGUAUGCUCAUCGCAUAUAUAUGAGGACCUGAUUCGGAGACAGAUGUGUAUUCUGACUGAUUCUUGCUUCUGACCAAAAGGUCGCAGAUCUGAUUCUUGCAAUUCACUGCCAUAUGCUGUCAAUUCACAACGUACUACCUUGUACCAAUGUCUUACUAAGGAAUAUUUGCUGGCUUGUGCUCGAAACUUUCAUCUGACAGCUUGCUGAAGAAGACUGGGUAUCGUGCUUCAGAAGCUUACCCCCUUAAAGACUUUGCUGGGGAGAGACUCAGUACCUUAUGCCGGAAGUUUUUGCGGUUGCUUACUGAAGAAGACAGGGUACCUUGCACGAGAAGUCAUCCAUGUAUUGCACUGAGGAAGAUAGAUGAAUCUUGCCUUGGAAGCUUCUCUGGUAUUUUGCGAGGGAAGAUUGGGUUGCUUACAUGAGAAGCUUAUUAUUGUGAUAUGCGGACCGAUUCCCACAUAUAUAACCACCUGAAUAUGUUUGCUAUUGAUUUCUUGCAUGAAACGGGGUUUUGCAGGACUAUCCUCCUUUCUGAGUACAUGCCAUAUUUUGCUUGCUUCCAGGUACAUCGAGUUCCAAAAUCAUAUUCAACGAAAAAUUAAACUUGUAUCUGAGCCAUACCUUUGAUAAUAUUCUGUCAACCUUGCACACAAUUUAUCUUCUUGCUGAUUUAAUCAUUUUUUUGUGAUGAGUGUACGCUAAUGCAAACUUGAUACUGACGGUCCAUCCAGGAUUUCUUUUGCAUCCAGACAAGAUAUUCCCAAUUUCACUGCAGUCAGCUGAUAAUUCCAUUCCGUUUUACUGAGUUUCCAAAUAUAUGCAUUUCUUGCUGACUCUUCGGGUCCGGUGUCGGUUGACGAGCAACUUUAAUAGGGAAAAAAAUUUGUAACACGCCCAAAGAAAGGAACAACAGAAAUGACUAAAACAAAAGCACACAAGCAUACUACUGAUAUAAUUAAUCAAGCAAUCAUCACAUAUUACUGCUACUCACACAAUAAUAUGCAUGCACACCUAAGCACAUAAAUCUCGCAGAAACUUUGGUAUUGCGGUCUAAUAUGCUAUGACGAUGUGCACGAGGACGAAUAAAUGUGUGGAAGAAUUGGUGUAAACAGCGCUACACCAAGUGCUAGCUUAGCUAGGCAGCAACCUGAACUAGCUCGGAGGCGAGGACGUACUCGGUAAUCAUGUAGUGGGACACGAAGUUCGCAACCACAUUAUUAUCAAGCGGAUGGAAAAAGAUCUGUACUCGUCCAAGAAAUAGGAUAGCGGGGAAAAACUGAGGCUGCUAACAUUGCCCUUUCUUGAUAACUAAGAUCAUUAAGGGUUGCCAACACGACAAAAGAAAAGAAUGAUCCGGGAUAGACGCAUGUCCAUCACUGAAAUGAUAGGCGGGACUGAAGGAAAAACAUCGGUGCGAUACCUGAGCACCAUUUUUGCAAACAGUGUCGGGAUUACUUGGCAUCACUCUGCUGGGACAGAAAUGACACCAAACACCGAAAGAAAAAGGAACUGGAGAAAUGCAAAGAUUGAGCUGUAGUGGAUCCGAACCGAUGCCAGCUACACUAAUCAGAUAAACAAUUAUCACGAAUACUAAGGCUAUAUGCAUGCUAUACAACAAACAAAUGCAACAACCAAGUGCAACAAACCAACUGGGGUCUAUACUACUGCUUUCUAAUGUUCGCACGGUCUAGGGCAUCCUACAACCAGACCUGCUCCGAUACCAAGCGCUAUGGCACCCCGGCUCAGAGAAACUGGAACGCCCCAUAUUCCAGCCCAGAGAUCGAGGAGAAGUCUUCUGGAAUACGGCAUUGCUUAGCAUAGAACAAACCAGCUCUUUAUUAUUACACGGAUAUGAAUACAAGGUCUCCGAUAUUACAAUGAAUAACAUCGAUACGGUGACACUACGCCAUUCUCAGUUCCUCUAUGCAAGCAGCAGAACAACUCGAAGCAGCGGAAUAACUCUAGCAGCGGAACAACGGCAACGGUGGUGAACUCCACUCCGCGGGGACUCUGGCUGGAACGCUUAUCCUAGCUUGCACGAACGGAAACCACGACAAGCAAGCAAUCAAACCCGGCAUGACCUGCAAGCUGGCAUGACACGCCAGGUCAGUACAUUGAAUGUACUUGCAAGCUCACAAUAACCAGAAGCAUUCAAGAUAGACAACAGCUUGGCAAUUACAGGUUAAACAUGAAUUAUCAUGAUAUCAUCAGAAUAACAUGGCAUCAUCAACAUAAACAUGAUACAACUAACUCAACCUGAACAUAGCAUGAACAUAUUAAUCCGACAAUACUAGCAUGCAACAUAAUGACACUAUAUGCACCACUUAUUCUGAUCGGCUAUCUCGUAACCAACACAUGCAUCACUUACCAACCUCGAACAUCACACGAAUAUACACAACUCGGUAUCCUCGAUACCAGUGUGAUCCUUACGGC